UACGGAGGGUGCAAACGUUGCUCGGAAUCAUUGGGCGUAAAGCGUGUGUAGGCGGCAUGUUAAGUCGGGUGUGAAAGCCCCGGGCUCAACCCGGGAAGUGCAUUCGAUACUGGCAUGCUUGAGUACGGGAGAGGGUCGCGGAAUUCCCGGUGUAGCGGUGAAAUGCGCAGAUAUCGGGAAGAACGCCCGUGGCGAAGGCGGUUCUCUGGGACGGUACUGACGCUGAGACGCGAAAGCGUGGGGAGCGAACAGG
rnacentral:rRNA from 1 species